CCGUCCGAGUUGUAAGCUAGAGAAGCGCCCUCCGCGCUGGGGCCAUGUACAAGUCUCCUGGAACGGAGCGUCGUGGAGGGUGAGAACCCCGUCUGUGACAUGGACCGCCCAGGGCACCGCGAUUGCGCCCUCAAAGAGUCGAGUUGUUUGGGAAUGCAGCUCCAAAUGGGUGGUAAACUCCAUCUAAAGCUAAACAUUGGCGAGAGACCGAUAGCGAACAAGUACCGUGAGGGAAAGAUGAAAAGAACUUUGGAAAGAGAGUUAAACAGUACGUGAAAUUGUUGAAAGGGAAACGCUUGAAGUCAGUCGCGUCGGCCUGGGAUCAGCCCCGCAAGUGCGAGGCGCACUCCCUGGUCGACGGGUCAGCACCAGUCUCGACCGUUGGAGAAGGGUUGGGGGAAUGUGGCAUCCUAGGAUGUGCUUAUAGCCCCCAAUCGCAUGCAUCGGUCGGGAUUGAGGAACUCGGCGCGCCGCAAGGCCGGGUCUCAGACCACGUCCGCGCCCAGGAUGCUGGCACAAUGGCUUUAAUCGACCCGUCUUGAAACACGGACCAAGGAGUCUAACAUGCCUGCGAGUGUUUGGGUGGAAAACCCAUGCGCGCAAUGAA
rnacentral:rRNA from 1 species